rnacentral:rRNA from 1 species
UUAAGUGAUGAUAGCCUAGGAGAUACACCUGUACCCAUGCCGAACACAGAAGUUAAGCCCUAGAACGCCGGAAGUAGUUGGG